UUUCUCUCUCUCUGUCUCUCUCUCACUGGCUCUCUCUUCUCCCUUCCUACCCUGCCUGCACACUCAACGCACACGGACUGACUCCCUCUCUCUCUCACUUUCUCGCUCUCUCUCCGCUUUCGCAGUUACAGAACCGAGCUUUUUUUCCCCCCUUCCUUCCUUCUCCUCCUCCUCCUUCUCCUUCUUCUCCUCCUACUCCUCCUCCUCCUCCUUCCGUGUGUUUGUGUUUUUCCGUACGUACGGAGAAACAGGUUCUGCGCUGCUAGCGUUCACGUCGAGCUCAGCCUGAAACGGGGCCCAGCGCUGCCCGAGACGCACUGGCUGCCGCUUGCCUGCUGCUGCCGUUUUUUUCCCUCCCUCUCGUCUUUUUGGUUGUUGUUGUUCUCCACAAUUUUUCUUUUUUUUUUGGUUCUUUCAAAUCUUUUCUUUUUCUUGUUACCCCUCACCUUUCCUCAAGUAGAGAUCCUUUAAAGAGAGGGAAGGAAGGGGAAGAGAGGGGAAGAGGGGGAGAGAGAGAGAGAGAGAGAGAAAGAGAGAGAGGUGUCUGUGGAAAGGGGGGAGAUGAGGAGACAGAAAAAAAAGAGGGAGAAAACGGAGCGCACGAUUUGAGAGAGGACUGGUGCUGGGCAGCAACACGAGAGGGAGGAAAAGCGAAGAGGGAAAAGGGAGGGAGAGAGAAGGAACGAGGGAUGGCCGAAUGGGAAUCGGCCGAAAUCGCGGGAAAAGAAAAAGGAAAAAAAAUGACUAGACUCGUCCGACUUAUGCCGCCGCACGCUGCUCCCCCCCCCCCCCCGACUGACCCCCAGCUCUGAGCCCCUCCCCGGGACGCUGCAAAGGGGACGCCGGGACUUCCUUUUUGGGGCGACGCUACCCGUGGUGCCCAGGAGAGAAGCAGGCCUUCAGUUUGAUCUCCCUAGAGGUGGAGGCCACCAGACAUUUUGAGAACACCAAAAGAUGGGACUGGGAAAAGGCUCCGCAUUGGAAUUUGGAAAAGACUGACAGCUGCCAACUCCUACCCCCUGUCUCUUAAUUCCACGCCCCAUACAAUCCCAAACUGGGGUCUUCAUAUUGUUGGCUGACCCAUUACAGAGCAGACGUCUCAGCCUGUCGGCAAGAAGACAGGGAAAGACUAACAGAAGGAAGGGAGGAAAUGGUCAUUUUCCACUACAAAAAUCAGGAAAUUUUACUGACAUUAUAUGAGGCUAUUUUGUGGAGUAAAGGAAACACACAGGAAACUACAGUUGCAUAUUUACACAGCAGCACCCUAUACACACACACACACACACACACUGUAUAUAUAUAUAUAUACACACACACACACACGCAGUCAUAGACAGAGAGAGAGAGAGAGAGAUUCAAUAUUCCAUUAUUAUGACAGCACAAUAUAGUAAAAAUUGUUUAUUGAAUUCUCACACAUUGUGUGCUACAUUCUUUGUCUUUUUCUCUCCAUUUGACCCAUAACAGUACAUCAGAUGUGAUUAUUUCAAUAGGUACAGCGGCCACUUGGGUUAUUUUCGCCACAAGAUCUGCAUCUCUGAGUGAUUCCCACCAAAAACUACAUUUCCCCGUAUGCCCCUCUGUCCCUGAGACCCUUAACCUGUGAGGUCAUUGGAGGUCACAGGUGAGGUCCUCGGGAACAGGGCUGCAUGCAUUUGCACAGUGAGGGAAGCAUGAGACCAGCAGCUGCUGGGAGGCCCCAUUUGGAGAUGCCACUCAAGGUGUCUUUAUCGCAAGGGCACAUUUGAGGUGCGGUUUACUCCACGGCCUCACUGUUCAACAAUUCGGUUGUUGAAAAACAGCAUUUGAAAGCACGUACAGUUUUAAGUAUCGCAGUGAAGUAGCAGAAAAGUUCUUUCCAGAAUGCCUCGAAACCAAAGCAGGAGUGUCACUUCCCCUGAGUAUCAUGUGUACUGUAUCCCCGCUUUCGUAUAGUAUUCACCACCGUUGAUAUCCUCUUAAGGUUGUGUGUGUAUGGACUGAUAGACCCUGUAAUCAGCCACAGCAAAGAAAUUGCAUAAUAAUAAAGGAGUACCACUGAAUUAUCUCCCGUUUAUUAGCAACUGAAGCAGGUAGCAGUUCACAUUGUCAUUGCUGAUGUGACUCCAGGGGGCAGACUCCAUUGGCUGACUUUGUGUUCUGACCAUGAAACGGUCCAAUGAGAAGACAGCCAAGGGUGGUGACUCCGUUUGUCUGUUAUCAACAUCCAGAUAUGUUAUAUUAUUAAAUUAAAUAAAACAACAUUUUCUCAAAAAGUC